rnacentral:rRNA from 1 species
CGGCUAGGAUGCUGGCGUAAUGGUUGUAAGCGACCCGUCUUGUAACACGGACCAAGGAGUCUAACAUCUACGCGAGUGUUCGGGUGUCAAACCCGUGCGCGAAGUGAAAGCGAACGGAGGUGGGAACCCUUACGGGUGCACCAUCGACCGAUC